rnacentral:rRNA from 1 species
UACGAAGGGGGCUAGCGUUGUUCGGAUUUACUGGGCGUAAAGCGCACGUAGGCGGAUCUUUAAGUCAGGGGUGAAAUCCCGAGGCUCAACCUCGGAACUGCCUUUGAUACUGGAGAUCUUGAGUCCGGAAGAGGUGAGUGGAACUGCGAGUGUAGAGGUGAAAUUCGUAGAUAUUCGCAAGAACACCAGUGGCGAAGGCGGCUCACUGGCCCGGUACUGACGCUGAGGUGCGAAAGCGUGGGGAGCAAACAGGG